AAAGCGAGUCCGAUAAGGGCGUGAGUCGCGUGUUCUAGACCCGAAGCGGUGUGAUCUAUCCAUGGCCAGGAUGAAGCGUCGGUAAGACGUCGUGGAGGUCCGAACCCACUUCAGUUAAAAAUGGAGGGGAUGAGUUGUGGAUAGGGGUGAAAGGCCAAUCAAACACCGUGAUAGCUGGUUCUCCCCGAAAUGCAUUUAGGUGCAGCGUUGCGUGGUUCUUGUUGGAGGUAGAGCACUGGAUGGUCUAGGGGGCUUAUCGGCUUACCGAAAUCAGCCAAACU
rnacentral:rRNA from 10 species